AGUUUUUUUUUUAUAUAUACACGAAACUGACUAUUAACGCAAUUCAACAUUUUGUUGUUGUUGACUAUUAACGCAUUCAAAAUUUUGUUGUUCGGGGUGAAUGGAGAAUUUACCAUUCGCACAAAAUCACAAUCGUUUUAAGGUAAACAAAUAAAUGUGAUAAAGUGGUAAACAUUGAAUUAUUUCAAAUGGAUUCAUCGCGAAAAACAAUUAUGUGGGUGUCAAAGUAUGAGCAAAUGCUCUUUGAUAUGUGGGAGGAAAACAUUGGGAUAUUAAACGGCUCGGAACUAAAGAGUCCAACAUUUGUAGAAUUCGCUCUAAGGCUGCAAGGAGCUGGCUUUAAUGUAGACUGGAAAAAAGUAAGAUCAAAGAUGGAUAACUUGACCAAGCGCUACAAGUACAGCAGUGGUGCGUGAAUUGCGAAAACCUGAUGGAAAACGAACCCACUGGAGGCAUUUUAAAAGACUUCAUAGAAUCCUGGGACCCAGAAAGUCGAGAAAAAAAUUGCUGAGCAGUACACCUUUUUUAAAAGUCGAUGAACAGGUUAAUAUUGAUGCAAAUGAAAGUGAUGAACUAUUAGCGGAAAAUUUUGACGCCCUUAUAGAAGAGCCGUUGGAUCACUCCUAUUAUACGCAGUUCCAAGAGGAACACGUGGAAGAAAAUGAGAAUUAUUCCACAAACGAAUCGGUACCAACAAUGAAAUUAGAAAAACGUAUUGCUGACCCGGUAAUGACGCCCUUUGAAUCGGCCAUGAUUGAGGUUGUCAAGCAACGCACCAAAGACUUAAAUCAAGCGGCUGCAGAGCGUCUGGAAGUCCUCAAUCGUCACUUGAGCAGCACCAUAGAGUUUCAAAAUAAGAUAUUGAACAUGAUGUCAAAUUAGACAAAGUACUAUAUAAGUAUAAUGAAAUAUGUUAAGUAAAACACACUGUUUUUUUUAUUUGUUGAUGGAAUAGCUGCGCGUUCAAAAAUAUGAUCGCAUUUGAAAUAGCGUUUAUUAUAAUUUGAUUUUCGUUCAAUUAAUUGAAAAUCCUAAUCAGAUAAAAGCGCUUUUGACUAACAAUUUAAAAAUAACAAAUUACGUACAUAAAUGUAAUACUUAGAUUAAGAGAACUUAUGCAAAGACGUUUUGUUCUAUUCAACAACAAAAAAAGAGUCACUAUUUACACAGGCUUAGGAUCUAGAAUUAAUAAUUACUGAAAAGAUUCAUUCUCUUGUAUUUUCCAUAGCUAUGCGUAUUCCUCGGUUCGAUCAAUUUACUAUUUAUUUUUUCUUUUAUCUUUUCCAUCUAUUAUGUAUAUUGUUUAGUAGUAGUAUUGUAUGGGUUUCAUAUAUGACUAGUUUUUACGAUCUGCUUCGGCACAAAUUGGGGUUUAGUAUUGAACAUUCAGUUAUGUAAGUAUAAGUGCAUAGGAUAUACGACUAUUACGAUUACGAUUACGGGGCUUAUGUAUAUAUGUAUAUUCAUGUAUUGUUUUCAUGGAAAUUUGGAAAGAAUUUAUGCUACUGGGGAUCGUUCGGCCUUUUCAAAUAUGGACGGAACCUAAAGAAUAAAUAAUAAUAAAUUGUAAACGGCACAAU